rnacentral:rRNA from 1 species
GUCCACGCCGUAAACGAUGGGAACUAGGUGUGGCGGGUGUCGACUCCCGCUGUGCCGAAGCUAACGCAUUAAGUUCCCCGCCUGGGGAGUACGGCCGCAAGGCUAAAACUCAAAGGAAUUGACGGGGGCCCGCACAAGCAGCGGAGCAUGUGGUUUAAUUCGACGCAACGCGAAGAACCUUACCAGGGCUUUACAUGCAUUGGAAAACCGUGGAAACACGGUCCCCCUUCGGGGCUAAUGCACAGGUGGUGCAUGGCUGUCGU